GGCUGAGACCUGAUGCCGAGCCGAUUGUGGUGAAGUGGAUGAUCCUAUGCUGUCGAGAAAAGCCUCUAGCGAGUUUCAUGGCGGCCCGUACCCUAAACCGACUCAGGUGGUCAGGUAGAGAAUACCGAGGCGUUCGGGUGAACUAUGGUUAAGGAACUCGGCAAAAUGCCCCCGUAACUUCGGGAGAAGGGGGGCCAUUCCUGGUGAGAACACUUGCUGUUCGAGCUGGGGGUGGCCGCAGAGACCAGCGAGAAGCGACUGUUUACUAAAAACACAGGUCCGUGCGAAGCCGUAAGGCGAUGUAUACGGACUGACGCCUGCCCGGUGCUGGAACGUUAAGGGGACCGGUUAGCUCCAUUUCGGUGGGGCGAAGCUGAGAACUUAAGCGCCAGUAAACGGCGGUGGUAACUAUAACCAUCCUAAGGUAGCGAAAUUCCUUGUCGGGUAAGUUCCGACCUGCACGAAUGGCGUAACGACUUCUCGACUGUCUCAACCAUAGGCCCGGUGAAAUUGCACUACGAGUAAAGAUGCUCGUUUCGCGCAGCAGGACGGAAAGACCCCGGGACCUUUACUACAGUUUGAUAUUGGUGUUCGGUUCGGCUUGUGUAGGAUAGCUGGGAGACUUUGAAGCAGGCACGCCAGUGUUUGUGGAGUCGUCGUUGAAAUACCAGUCUGGUCGUGCUGGAUGUCUAACCUGGGUCCGUGAUCCGGAUCAGGGACAGUGUCUGAUGGGUAGUUUAACUGGGGCGGUUGCCUCCUAAAGAGUAACGGAGGCGCCCAAAGGUUCCCUCAGCCUGGUUGGCAAUCAGGUGUUGAGUGUAAGUGCACAAGGGAGCUUGACUGUGAGACCGACGGGUCGAGCAGGGACGAAAGUCGGGACUAGUGAUCCGGCGGUGGCUUGUGGAAGCGCCGUCGCUCAACGGAUAAAAGGUACCCCGGGGAUAACAGGCUGAUCUUCCCCAAGAGUCCAUAUCGACGGGAUGGUUUGGCACCUCGAUGUCGGCUCGUCGCAUCCUGGGGCUGGAGUCGGUCCCAAGGGUUGGGCUGUUCGCCCAUUAAAGCGGUACGCGAGCUGGGUUUAGAACGUCGUGAGACAGUUCGGUCCCUAUCCGCUGUGCGCGUAGGAGUCUUGAGAAGGGCUGUCCCUAGUACGAGAGGACCGGGACGGACGAACCUCUGGUGUGCCAGUUGUUCUGCCAAGGGCAUGGCUGGUUGGCUACGUUCGGGAGGGAUAACCGCUGAAAGCAUCUAAGCGGGAAGCCUGCUUCGAGAUGAGGACUCCCACCCACUUGAUGGGGUAAGGCUCCCAGUAGACGACUGGGUUGAUAGGCCGGAUCUGGAAGCCAGGUAACUGGUGGAGGUGACCGGUACUAAUAGGCCGAGGGCUUGUCCUCAGUUG
rnacentral:rRNA from 1 species